CGUUGUCCGGAUUUAUUGGGCGUAAAGAGCGUGUAGGCGGCCAGGUAGGUCGGUUGUGAAAACUAGAGGCUCAACCUCUAGACGUCGACCGAAACCAUCUGGCUAGAGUCCGGAAGAGGAGAGUGGAAUUCCUGGUGUAGCGGUGAAAUGCGCAGAUAUCAGGAAGAACACCCGGGGCGAAGGCGGCUCUCUGGGACGGUACUGACGCUGAGACGCGAAAGCGUGGGGAGCGAACAGG
rnacentral:rRNA from 1 species